UAAUUAUUUAUACUGUCUUACUUUAAUAAUUAAUUUAAUUAGUAUGUGUUUUUGUAUUCUAGAUACUAAUACAUGUAAAUAAUUAUAUGUACUAGUACUGUUAGAAAAAAUGUUUUAUUUAAUAUUGUGUAACAUUCUUACAUUGUUUUGCUACAUUACUGACAGUAGCGUAUUUAGGGGGGGUAUUGGAGGCAAUUGCCCUGGGCAGCACUUGUUUGAGGAGCAGUAAAUGUAACUGGAAGGUUUUAGUUUUAAACUAAUUUAAACAGUUGUAAAAAAUAUAUAUAUAUGUACCCAGGGCAACAAAAUUCUAAAUAUGCCUCUGUUUACUGAUCUAAAAAAGUUUUGCAAAGUUUCCAUAACUACUUUUGUAAAUUAAUGUACCUAUGUUCGUAUAAUUUAAAACAACUAAAUUAUAAGUAACUUUUACAUUAGAUAAAUUGUAAUACAAUUUUAGUCACGUGUUUUCCAUUUUUUUUAAUGAUUUAUUGAUGAGAUAAAUAAAUAGCAAUGCAUUAACACUAUUAUUACUAGUAUUAAUUUAUUUAUGCAUAUAAUAUGACAUUUGUAUUUUGACUUAAAGAUAGUAGUAAUAACAGUUAUAAUAAUAAUAAUAAUAAUAAUAACAAACGAACAAUAAUAGUAAUAAUUGUAACAACAUUGACAGCAGCUGAAAAUAGUAAAUAAUUAACAGAUAAAGAAAAUAUCACAGGCGUUCUAUGAGCAAGAAUAGCCGCAAUAGGUAGUAUUGCGAUGACGAUGUGACAUUUUUUCUACAGACAAUGUGUGUGUAAAAUAGCCAACUUAAAAUUAAAGCCUUCGCCGCCAUAUUUCCGUCAUGACUUAUGUCUGUGUGCGUAGUCUUAGUAGAUCGUCGUCGAUGCGAAAUGUGCAUUGCAGGCUGGGUCAAGUGCAAUAUGAGAUCGUGUACAAAUCGCACACAGUGAUGCAUAUAAUACAUAUUGCAAACAACACAACCUAAUUUGCUACAUUCUUUGUUUUUCGUCGCCGGCGUACAGAAUAAAAAAACCGUCUACUACAUUGGCCUCGAAAACUUCGGAAGAACCCUGCAGCACUGUAUCAGCAACCGUCGAAUUUUAGCAUAGUCCCCCAAUUGGCCGGGACAUGUGCAAUAUUAGUUUGAUCAAAAUACAAUAGUUGCACAAGUCAACGACCAACUGGUGAAACGCUUCGCAGUAAUAAUCAAGCUUUCCGUCGCGUGUCCCUGUAUAUCAGAAUAAAGAAAACAAAAAUUAGGUAAUUAAUACGAUAAUAACAUAAUAUACAGGGUCUUCGAUCCCCGGUAACGAACUAUACCUAUUAUUAUAUCUAUAUUGUUUUUCAUUCACUAUUACGUCGCAAAGGGAAACAUAAAAUAUUAAAUACAGAGCGAUUAAGAAUGACACAAUAAUUAAAAACAUGAAAUAGGUUUAUUAUACUCGUACUCAAUGCGUGUACGUGUUGUAACGGGAUCUGCAGCAAAGGCAUUUAACUUGUGUAUAUAUUAAAACCUUGUGUUAUUUUGUAACCGGAAACCAGACAUUCACUCGGCAGACACUCUUCAGAUCGAUGAUGAUGGUACAUCGAUUGUAGUUUAUAUUUACGUCGAUUAUCACAGUGGUUGUGUGUCCGGCGAGUGUGCGUUUCCAAUUGUGGGAAAUUAUGUCAGACCACUCUUACCGCGUGUCCCAUCUACGGUUAUCUUACUAUUACAUAAAAAUACCUCCUAAUUAUAACAUAAGAAUAAUAUUCGAAGAGAGAGACAGGGAUUUUAAAAUGUAUGAAAAUGAGGUUUUCCAUUUUAUAUACAUAGCAAAUAACGUUAUGGAUGAGCAGUACAACACUCAAUACAUACGCAUAACGCAUGAUGGCUACGAUUUUAAUAAAUAUAAUACGAUUUUAAAUAUAAUAGAUACUAUUGCGAUUAUAUUAUUAUAUUAAACGCGAUGUAUGCGCGUACAUGAUGACACCACCACCGGGCCUCGGGCUAUCGACGAAACAUUCAAACAUCUGCCAUCUUCCUUUUGACCACCACGCGACCAAAUGUUAAAUUUAAAAAUACUACGGCGAACAAUGAAUCCGAUGCGUGCUCUCGUUUUGGUGCGGACGGAAUAAUAUAAAUUGUACGUAUACAACGUCUGUUAUAUACACUUAUAAUGAUGACUCGCAUAUGUACCUCUAUGACAAAAUUUUUUUAUUGCAGCAGCGGUUUACCUAUAUAUUAAUAUUGUUUUAUAAUACUGAACUAUCUGCGGGUUAUGUGUUUUGUACCGUACUUCGUGAUUCGCGCGUUCAAUUAUCAUACGAUAAUCAUAUAUACACAAUACACACACUACCUACAUAUAUAUUGGCGUACAUAUAAAUAGUACACCGCGACUACAUCGCAAGUAUAUCACGAGCUCAUCGUCCUUGGACGUUUAAUAUAUUGUAUUAUUAUAACGUAUCGUCGCGGGAACGUCCACAUAAUUUGCGAGGCUUAGGGCGAAAAUAAUUCCAAAGCUCUACAUAAUAAUUAAUAUACUUCUAUUCAUGAGACGUGUCUAUAAAUUGCUCAUUUUUGAGUUGUAACAGAGAGUUUACAAUAAGUAAUUGAUUCAAAAUUAAAAAUCUAAAAUUAUUUUCUUGAUUUAAUCAUAUAUAGCUGGAAAAUGUAUUAUUGAAGUUUUUCAUUAAGUAUACUGUUAUUUUCAUUU